CUGGAUGGGGCGAGUUGGUGGUGAAGAUGGACUUCUUAUUCUGGAAUAGCUUAAAGUACUGUUGGGUGUUUACAUUGUGGAGCCAAUUUUCAAGCCAGACCACUCGAGCAUAAUCUCUCGCAACACUCCAGUUAAAGAAGCCCAGAACUGUGAAGAACAAAGAGAAGGUAGGUGAUUGGAAUGAGAUCCUUGGAAGAGAAAGAAGAGGGGCCAGUCAGGGAUGCUAAUUCCCAGAGCUCUGUAACUCCUCUGGACUCAAGGCCUCACUUUCUGGGUGCAGACCUGGAGGAUGACAAACUUUCGACUUAACAGAGAAAAACUGAAGACCUACAAGUAAAUAUCUACAACAAAUGAUGGUUCUUAUAAUCACAUGUACUACCACAUGUUCUUUGUCUUGCUAGC